rnacentral:rRNA from 1 species
GACGAGGGAUCCUAGCGUUGCUCGGAAUCAUUGGGCGUAAAGCGGGUGUAGGUGGCUUUGUAAGUCAGGUGUGAAAUCCCAGGGCUCAACCCUGGACAGGCGGUGGAAACUACCAAGCUGGGAGUACGGUAGGGGCAGAGGGAAUUUCCGGUGGAGCGGUGAAAUGCGUAGAGAUCGGAAAGAACACCAACGGCGAAAGCAACUCUGCUGGGCCGACACUGACACUGAGAGACGAAAGCUAGGGGAGCGAAUGGG